rnacentral:lncRNA from 1 species
CAACUCAGAUAGAACUGACCACUAGGAUUUGGUAGGCGUUGACACAUAAUGAUGACAUGUGGGGCUGCAGCACAGGCUGCCCCUGGCUGUUCACCCUUUGGAGCUGCUGUUCUCCCACUCUAGGUGGGUCUGGCCUGCCCAGCUUCAGAGCAUUGUGAAUGUCAGCAACAAGGAGUGAGAAGAGUGGUCACAGCAGGAUACAGGCCCACAGCAGGAUACAGGCCCACAGCAGGAUACAGGCCCCACAACAGGACACAGGCCCACAGCAGGAUACAGGCCCGCAGCAGGGUACAGGCCCGCAGCAGGGUACAGGCCCCACAGCAGGACACAGGCCCCA